AAUGCAAGGAAGUUAGCUCCACUGCUGGGGCACCUUGACGCUCAAGAAAGACAGCCAUUGUUUCCUGCAUUUUACAUCAGGUGUUCAAGGCUCUCUGGCUCUGUCCUGUGGAUCACAAAGAUUGUUGUGCGGAAAGCCACAUUGCUUCUCCAACUAGGACACCGCCUGCACAUCUCAGCUUCUGCGUUCUGGCCUUACCAGCAGUUCCUGGCUUCAAAGAAGGUUCUUUGUCCACAAGAGAACCACAGGCAGCUUCAUUUCUCAGAGUAGAAAACUGACGCCUAGAGGAGGAGUGGGCACAGCUGCUCCUUGACCAUCCACAAGUGCCUUUCUGGGAACCGAAGCACAAGGCUCCGCCUGGACCUGAUCAGCCAGAGAACACAUCUCCGGAGACCUCCUUCUCUGUAUUCAGAUCACAAGAUGGUUUGCAGGCUGGCGAGAAAGGUUUUCCAGAGAGGAGAUCAGAGUUAGUGCCGAGCUAGGUCUCCAACCCUGGACGGCAGGGGCCCAGCAUGGAACACUCCCAUGCCAUCUGCUGUCUAUUAUUUCAUGGAAGAGACUUGUAUAUCCAAAAAGUGCCACCGACCUGACUUACCAGCCUCUGGCUUGAAUGUGUGGUUACCCUCUUCUUCCUGAAUUACGCCAGGAGAGCUAUGGCUAGUCCACCGCUCCAGCAGUGCCUCAGCUUUCAUUUCCUUCUCUCUCACACACACGUGCGCGCGCACGCACACACACACGCACGCAUGCGCUGAUCCCACUCCACUUACCACGGGAAUAUUAAUGAUUUUAGUUGUCUCACAAGACUGGUGGAAGAUUUCCUAGGCAAACAGAGAUCACUUUUAAAUGGGAAGGAAAAAUGGGAAAUGGCUAAAUACACACAAUGGAAAAUUAUGCAGCUAUUAAAGGUAUUUAUAGUUUGAAAUAGCACAGAAAAUGUUUAUGACAAAAUGUUAAGAGGAAAAAGCAGGGUACAAAAUUAUAUCUGUACUGUAUGCUUAAGACUACAUAAAAACGCAUAAGGAAAAAAACGGACUGGAAGGAAAUGCACGAAUGCCAAUAGUAGGAUGUAGGGUAACAUCUCUCUGUUUUUAACAAACUUCUUAUAAUAGGAAUCAAUUACUUUAUGUCCUGUUAUAACCUUCUUAGUCAUACAAGUAGUUUUGAAAAACAUUCUCAUUUUUAAAAUACUCAAACCAUAGGUAUGAAACAAAAGUUCCCCUUGGGCCAGCCCCGGUGGCCUAGUGGUUAAGGUCGGCACACUCUGCUUCUG
rnacentral:lncRNA from 1 species